GAUGAACGCUGGCGGCGUGCUUAACACAUGCAAGUCGAACGAUGAAGCCCAGCUUGCUGGGUGGAUUAGUGGCGAACGGGUGAGUAACACGUGAGUAACCUGCCCUUAACUCUGGGAUAAGCCUGGGAAACUGGGUCUAAUACCGGAUAGGAGCGUCCACCGCAUGGUGGGUGUUGGAAAAAUUUAUCGGUUUUGGAUGGACUCGCGGCCUAUCAGCUUGUUGGUGAGGUAAUGGCUCACCAAGGCGACGACGGGUAGCCGGCCUGAGAGGGUGACCGGCCACACUGGGACUGAGACACGGCCCAGACUCCUACGGGAGGCAGCAGUGGGGAAUAUUGCACAAUGGGCGCAAGCCUGAUGCAGCGACGCCGCGUGAGGGAUGACGGCCUUCGGGUUGUAAACCUCUUUCAGUAGGGAAGAAGCGAAAGUGACGGUACCUGCAGAAGAAGCACCGGCUAACUACGUG
rnacentral:rRNA from 1 species